AGAGUUUGAUCCUGGCUCAGGAUGAACGCUAGCUACAGGCUUAACACAUGCAAGUCGAGGGGCAGCGCGGGUGAAGCUUCGGUGGAUCCCGGCGGCGACCGGCGGAUGGGUGAGUAACGCGUAUCCAACCUGCCCCUGUCCCGGGGACAGCCCUUAGAAAUGAGGAUUAACCCCCGAUGGUGUCAACGCGCCGCAUGGUGCUUUGACUAAAUGCUUAAGGACAGGGAUGGGGAUGCGUUCCAUUAGGCCGCAGGCGGGGUAACGGCCCACCUGGCCGACGAUGGAUAGGGGUUCUGAGAGGAAGGUCCCCCACACUGGUACUGAGACACGGACCAGACUCCUACGGGAGGCAGCAGUGAGGAAUAUUGGUCAAUGGGCGCGAGCCUGAACCAGCCAAGUAGCGUGCGGGAAGAAGGCCCUACGGGUUGUAAACCGCUUUUGCGCGGGGAUAAAAACGGGACUUGUCCCGUCUUGCAGGUACCGCGCGAAUAAGGACCGGCUAAUUCCGUGCC
rnacentral:rRNA from 1 species